GGCGUGUCCGGGGAAAAGGGGAGGGAUGAAUCGGAAAGGAAGGAUGUCGUGGGAGGCUGGAGGAGCUGGGAGGGAGCCGAGGCGGGGCGGGGGCGGAGCGGGGGGCGUGGCGGAACGGGCGCGCUGUCACGUGACGUGCGUGGCGACGUGUCGGCCAUCUUGUGUUGUUGAGGCUGAGACUGACUUGGGUUCUGAGAGACACCCUGUCCCGGACCGCAGAUUAUAG
rnacentral:lncRNA from 1 species